rnacentral:rRNA from 1 species
GACGAACGCUGGCGGCGUGCUUAACACAUGCAAGUCGAACGGAAAGGCCCUGCUUGCAGGGUACUCGAGUGGCGAACGGGUGAGUAACACGUGGGUGAUCUGCCCUGCACUUCGUGAUAAGCCUGGGAAACUGGGUCUAAUACCUGAUAGGAGCCAUUUUUAGUGUGAUGGUUGGAAAGUUUUUUCGGUGUAGGAUGAGCUCGCGGCCUAUCAGCUUGUUGGUGGGGUAAUGGCCUACCAAGGCGGCGACGGGUAGCCGGCCUGAGAGGGUGGACGGCCACAUUGGGACUGAGAUAAGGCCCAGACUCCUAAGGGAGGAAGCAGUGGGGAAUAUUGCACAAUGGGCGCAAGCCUGAUGCAGCGACGCCGCGUGGGGGAUGACGGCCUUCGGGUUGUAAAAUCCUUUCGCUAGGGACGAAGCUUUUUGUGACGGUACCUAGAUAAGAAGCACCGGCUAACUACGUG